ACUUACAAGACUUUGAGGUCGGAAAGGGCAGUGAGCUCUCUUGGAAUUGAUCCUGUCAGCCUAUUGUUGUUAAGACGACUAGACUUACAGGAACCUAAGCGAUUUCAACUUAACCAAAGACUUUGGAAUCUCUCCUUCGAAGUUAUUGUUAUACAAAUCCACACUAACGAGGUUCUUCAAAUUACCCAACUCCUUAGGAAUUUUUCCUUCAAUAUUAUUCCUAUAGAGCUCCCUGCAAAGCGAUACAAAUUCCUAUUCACGAUCAGACAACAAGAAGUUU